AUUGAACGCUGGCGGCAUGCCUUACACAUGCAAGUCGAACGGCAGCACGGGCUUCGGUCUGGUGGCGAGUGGCGAACGGGUGAGUAAUGUAUCGGAACGUGCCCUUCAGGGGGGGAUAACGUAGAGAAAGUUACGCUAAUACCGCAAACUCUGUGAGCUGGAAAGCAGGGGGUCGAAAGACCUUCCGCUGAGUGAGCGGCGGAUAUCAGAUUGGCUAGUUGGUGGGGUAAAGGCCUACCAAGGCGACGAUCUGUAGCGGGUCUGAGAGGAUGAUCCGCCACACUGGAACUGAGACACGGUCCAGACUCCUACGGGAGGCAGCAGUGGGGAAUUUUGGACAAUGGGGGCAACCCUGAUCCAGCCAUGCCGCGUGAGUGAAGAAGGCCUUCGGGUUGUAAAGCUCUUUCGGCCGGGAAGAAAUCGCAUGGGCUAAUACCCUGUGUGGAUGACGGUACCGGAAUAAGAAGCACCGGCUAACUACGUGCCAGCAGCCGCGGUAA
rnacentral:rRNA from 1 species